rnacentral:lncRNA from 1 species
AAGACAGAUCAUAAGUAUAAAAUAAAAGAAUUCAUAUAGAUUAACAUGGACUGGGAUAGUUGACCAGGGGAUUAAAUGGGUGGGAGUGUUAUAAGCAAAACAGUCAAAGGGACUGUAAAAUAGUAACUUUUAUUUCUUUAAAAAUACAUUAAAAUUUUUAUUACUACCUGUCAUGCUCAGAUACAUAUCAUAGGAUAAAAUUUCCCUAAAAUAUAAAAUGGAAUGUUAUGUCUUUAAAAGAUGGUGAUGGCUAAAGACAUCUGCUUCUGUGGCCCACUCCAGGUCAUCUGCAGGAUCUACAGGCCUUCAGGAAGGGUAGAAAGGGUUUGCAGCAACAUGGCCAGUGAGCCACAGCCUCAUGGUGACCAGAGAGCUCGCCUCCCAGCACUGUUCUCAAUGGCUUCUUCCAAAAGACUGUCAGAUGCAACAAAAAUGACUGGCCAGAGGAGCAGUGUCCAGCGAGGGGCAAGGAACCUGUGUACUCGGCACUCCACUGACCAGCGGGGGAUCUUUAAUACUCCCUCACAUUGUGUACUUUUGAUCACUUGAUGGGAGCACUUGAUGGAAGCACUCGUUGGGAGGAUGUUAAGGAUUAGAGAACAGUUCUCAGACUGAAUUGUUUUUUCAGGAAAAAAAAAGUAACAUUUACAUCGUCCUCUGGGAAACCAUGCUCCUUCCGUCUUGAAGUUUGGGAGAAACCAUGCCUGAGAGCAUGGUUGAGUAUGCAUGGUCGAGGCUUGGACAAUGAAACUGGUGACCCACCCUACACCUACUGUUAUCUCCGGGAUCAACAUACAAAAGUUGUUCUGAUCAAAAAGAUUCAGUGUGGCUGGCUUUAUGCUGACAUCUUUGGUCCAUUUGCACUUAAGUUUUGUGCAUGGCGACAGGUAUGGAUCUAUCUGCAAUUUUCUGCAUGUCCG